AACGCACAUUGCGCCCGCCAGUAUUCUGGCGGGCAUGCCUGUUCGAGCGUCAUUUCCACCAUCAGGCCCCCGGGCCUGUGUUGGGGACCUGCGGCUGUCCGCAGGCCCCGAAAUUCAGUGGCGGUCGCGCCGUAGCAACCGAGCGUAGUAACUAAAACGUCUCGCUCUGGCUCGCUGGGCGCGCUCCGGCCGUAAAACACCCCCCCUUUUCGCAAAGGUUGACCUCGGAUCAGGUAGGAAUACCCGCUGAACUUAA
rnacentral:misc_RNA from 1 species